UUGUUAGCUGUACAUGUCUGCCUGGCAUGGUUCAUCUGACCUUGGCCUCAUUUUCAUGGUUCAUUGGUCUUUGUUUAGUUAUCUUGGUUAAUGUUAAGUUUAUGUGACAGUUUUCAAUAAAGCUUUAUACUUAGGACUAUCAACAUAAUAUCAAUGAUUAGUAAAGAAGGCGAGACAUUUCAGUGUGUGCACUCUUGUUCUUAUUA
rnacentral:lncRNA from 1 species